rnacentral:misc_RNA from 1 species
CAAGUGGUGGAAUUUGUCUUUGGUAUGUUUUCUUCUCUCCCUAAUAUGUACUGUAUAUGAUGUUGCACUAAUUAUCAUGUCUAUUUCAGGUGAAAAAUGGACUUUAAUUUAUCAAGAGUCAACUGCCUGUUAACUCAAAAACAUCAUAAUAUAAAUUUUGUCUUGGUAUUUCAUAAUGAUUUAGGUUAUGAUACAAAAGUCAGAUGUGUAUCUGCUUCAUGAUUGCAUAUUGUCCAUCAGGUUGGAUCUACGUUCUGGAAAUG